ACAGAUCGUUCAGAGUUUGAUCCUGGCUCAGGAUGAACGCUAGCUACAGGCUUAACACAUGCAAGUCGAGGGGCAGCGGGAGCUUAGCUUGCUAAGUUUGCCGGCGACCGGCGCACGGGUGAGUAACACGUAUCCAACCUGGCCCAUACUCGGGUAUAGCCUCUCGAAAGGGAGAUUAAUCCCCGAUGUUGUUGUUUCACCGCAUGGUGUUGCAACCAAAGAAUUUCGGUAUGGGAUGGGGAUGCGUUCCAUUAGCUUGUUGGCGGGGUAACGGCCCACCAAGGCGACGAUGGAUAGGGGUUCUGAGAGGAAGGUCCCCCACACUGGAACUGAGACACGGUCCAG
rnacentral:rRNA from 1 species